rnacentral:rRNA from 1 species
AACGCGAAGAACCUUACCAGGUCUUGACAUCCCCUGACAACCCGAGAGAUCGGGCGUUCCCCCUUCGGGGGGACAGGGUGACAGGUGGUGCAUGGUUGUCGUCAGCUCGUGUCGUGAGAUGUUGGGUUAAGUCCCGCAACGAGCGCAACCCUCGACCUUAGUUGCCAGCAUUCAGUUGGGCACUCUAAGGUGACUGCCGGCUAAAAGUCGGAGGAAGGUGGGGAUGACGUCAAAUCAUCAUGCCCCUUAUGACCUGGGCUACACACGUGCUGCAAUGGGCGGUACAAAGGGUCGCGAACCCGCGAGGGGGAGCCAAUCCCAAAAAGCCGCUCUCAGUUCGGAUUGCAGGCUGCAACUCGCCUGCAUGAAGCCGGAAUCGCUAGUAAUCGCGGAUCAGCAUGCCGCGGUGAAUACGUUCCCGGGUCUUGUACACACGC